ACAAAGCCCGGAGAAAGGAGAAGUUAGGACAGACCCCACAGAGCAGUCAUUAAUCAGUGCAGGCAGGGUGACAGGAGGGGGGGAGGGCUGUGCUCUGAGUGUGGGGGGCUCAUGACAUCAAGGUGGUUCACGGAGGCGCCCCCCUGGCUGUGGAGCACCUGCUCGGCCGGCGGCGUGUGCCACAUUACCAUCACAACGGCACAGCGCCUGCCCGCGCGGCUAAUUCAUCACCAGCGGAGACGCCCUCAGAGAGGCGCUGAGGCGCGUGGCAACGCCGAUCACAGAACCUGCACCGCAGCCAGAUCGGGGAGGGGAGGACCCGCCCCCUGGAGGGCCGGGGGCCCGCUGGCUUGUCUUACCACCAGAGAGUUCCAACAGGAUACAUACUGGGGCUUGACAGACUGUCCUUCACUGACAGGCUGAAGGAACACCAUCUCAGUCUUGAACAGCAGUGAAGUCAGCUCUACCGUCUGGACACCCUGUUCCAUCCCUCUUGUUCAGACAUCUGCCGGAGCCCAGCCAGCAUGGGUCACUGUCUCCAUCACAUGUUGGGUCAAAGGUCACCCCCCAGAAGACAGCACAACUUGCUCCUUUCAACUCAAAGUGCAAGAUAAGAGGCUCCACGCCGACCCUCCCCAUCCUCUACAAAUGGCUUAUCAGUACCAUGACGGAAGGCAACGAGGUACUUUAUGGGAACACAGGCGGACUUUUACUCAAUUUUAAGAUGUUUUUUUAUGCCCCCUUUAAUUAGAAUUGCCAGUCAUUGAUUGGCUGCUAAGACCCUUGUGUCAGUAUUCUGGCUGAGCCACUUGUCAAUUCACAGUGGGUUUUUUUCUCUCCUGCAGGAUCCACUGUCCACUCGUACCACACUUAGCACUUUCUCCAUCUGUCCGUCCAUUUUAUAACCACCUGAUCCAAUUCAGGGUCGCGGAGGCGCUGGAGUCUACCCCAGCGAGCAACAGACGCAAGGCAGGAUACACCCUGGAUGGGACACCAGUCCAUCACAGGGCAGACACAGACACAAACACAGAUACACAC